rnacentral:rRNA from 1 species
GACGAAAGUAAGACUAAUACCCAAUGACGUCUCUAGAAGACAUCUGAAAGAGAUUAAAGAUUUAUCGGUGAUGGAUGGGGAUGCGUCUGAUUAGCUUGUUGGCGGGGUAACGGCCCACCAAGGCGACGAUCAGUAGGGGUUCUGAGAGGAAGGUCCCCCACAUUGGAACUGAGACACGGUCCAAACUCCUACGGGAGGCAGCAGUGAGGAAUAUUGGUCAAUGGACGAGAGUCUGAACCAGCCAAGUAGCGUGCAGGAAGACGGCCCUAUGGGUUGUAAACUGCUUUUAUAAGGGAAUAAAGUGAGUCUCGUGAGACUUUUUGCAUGUACCUUAUGAAUAAGGACCGGCUAAUUCCGUG